ACCUAGCGGCGGACGGGUGAGUAAUGCUUAGGAAUCUGCCUAUUAGUGGGGGACAACAUUCCGAAAGGAAUGCUAAUACCGCAUACGCCCUACGGGGGAAAGCAGGGGAUCUUCGGACCUUGCGCUAAUAGAUGAGCCUAAGUCAGAUUAGCUAGUUGGUGGGGUAAAGGCCUACCAAGGCGACGAUCUGUAGCGGGUCUGAGAGGAUGAUCCGCCACACUGGGACUGAGACACGGCCCAGACUCCUACGGGAGGCAGCAGUGGGGAAUAUUGGACAAUGGGCGAAAGCCUGAUCCAGCCAUGCCGCGUGUGUGAAGAAGGCCUUUUGGUUGUAAAGCACUUUAAGCGAGGAGGAGGCUACCGAGAUUAAUACUCUUGGAUAGUGGACGUUACUCGCAGAAUAAGCACCGGCUAACUCUGUGCCAGCAGCCGCGGUAAUACAGAGGGUGCGAGCGUUAAUCGGAUUUACUGGGCGUAAAGCGUGCGUAGGCGGCUUUUUAAGUCGGAUGUGAAAUCCCUGAGCUUAACUUAGGAAUUGCAUUCGAUA
rnacentral:rRNA from 1 species